AUUGAACGCUGGCGGCAUGCUUUACACAUGCAAGUCGAACGGCAGCACGAAAGAGCUUGCUCUUUUGGUGGCGAGUGGCGAACGGGUGAGUAAUGCAUCGGAACGCACCGAGUAAUGGGGGAUAACUGUCCGAAAGGAUAGCUAAUACCGCAUACGCUUUGAGAAGGAAAGUGGGGGCUCUUCGGACCUCACGUUAUUCGAGCGGCCGAUGUCUGAUUAGCUAGUUGGUGGGGUAAAGGCCUACCAAGGCGACGAUCAGUAGCGGGUCUGAGAGGAUGAUCCGCCACCCUGGGACUGAGACACGGCCCAGACUCCUACGGGAGGCAGCAGUGGGGAAUUUUGGGCAAUGGGCGCAAGCCUGAUCCAGCCAUGCCGCGUGUCUGAAGAAGGCCUUCGGGUUGUAAAGGACUUUUGUUAGGGAAGAAAAGGAUAGUGUUAAUACCAUUAUCUGCUGACGGUACCUAAAGAAUAAGCACCGGCUAACUACGUG
rnacentral:rRNA from 1 species